rnacentral:rRNA from 1 species
AGNCGACGCUUUGUGGNUCAACUGAUUUGAAGAGCUUGCUCAGAUAUGACGAUGGACAUUGCAAAGAGUGGCGAACGGGUGAGUAACACGUGGGAAACCUACCUCUUAGCAGGGGAUAACAUUUGGAAACAGAUGCUAAUACCGUAUAACAAUAGCAACCGCAUGGUUGCUACUUAAAAGAUGGUUCUGCUAUCACUAAGAGAUGGUCCCGCGGUGCAUUANNUAGUUGGUGAGGUAAUGGCUCACCAAGACGAUGAUGCAUAGCCGAGUUGAGAGACUGAUCGGCCACAAUGGGACUGAGACACGGCCCAUACUCCUACGGGAGGCAGCAGUAGGGAAUCUUCCACAAUGGGCGAAAGCCUGAUGGAGCAACGCCGCGUGUGUGAUGAAGGGUUUCGGCUCGUAAAACACUGUUGUAAGAGAAGAAUGACAUUGAGAGUAACUGUUCAAUGUGUGACGGUAUCUUACCAGAAAGGAACGGCUAAAUACGUGCCAGCAGCCGCGGU